UAGCUCGUCAAUAAAGUCUCGGUUGCUCUGGCGACCGGAGCCCGAGUGAUACUGAGUCGAGCAGAGAGGAAAAGGAGGAAAAAGCUCAAAAUUGACUCAAGUCAAAAAGGAAUAGAGGCGGAAAAAAAUAG
ensembl:ncRNA F28E10.13 ncRNA